GUCCUGUAUGUGUCAGGGUGCAUGUUGUCAUUGGGUCUAUUGAUUGCAAGCCUCCCCUGAGGUCAAAGGAGGUUCGGUCAUUCCUUCAUUAAGGUUAGCCGGCACAUCCUGGCUUUGGUAUUAAAGUGGAGGACAAGCAGGCCAAAUAGCAGAGUGUUGUUAACUGCGUUCCCCAGCAGCCCUCACUAUCGUUUGACUUUGGUGAAGGAGAUGACAAGGCUUCUUUCCUGCUGGGGUAGGUGUCACAUGUGGAAGCUUCAAUCAAAGCCUUACAUCUUGGCAAAGUAGGUG
rnacentral:lncRNA from 1 species